AGAUCUCUUAUUUUGAGUGGAUGGCUCUUAUAGCUUGUUACAAUUUGAAGGUGAUGAUAUCAAGUUUUGUUCGUAAUCAAUAAUUUUUCAUUCAACCUUGAACUUUUAAUUUGAAGUUCAUCUUUAACGGCACUUAGUCAUCCCGUAAGAACUUGCUGCUUGGCUAACUUGCUCAUUAUUGCAGUGUUCAGUGUCGGUCACGCAUCUUGUGUAGACUCAAAGUUCCCCCUUCUUUUUUGAGGGAUAUACCUUCUACUUUCUUCAAUUUAGAAAACUAGAUUCUCAUAGUGAGGCGCUUUGAGUCAGCGAAGCGUUGUAAUAGCGCCGAAGCCCCCUUUAAGCUGCCUUUUUUGCUGAUCUAUGAUUGCAACAAACUUAAAUUCAACGGUAACACGAUUCUUUCUUUUAUACUUAGAAGCAGUGUGAGAUAAGAUAAGCACAACAAGAACCACUAAAAAGUGUUAAGAAUUGUAGUUCUAAAAAAUAGACUUAAAACCGUCUAUUUAAACAUCAAUUUUUGAUUAUUUGGUUACAUGAUAAAUGCAAAAACUGCAUUCUUACUAAAUAAGACAAGUGCAGAUCUUCUCAUUUCUUAAAAUAAAUAAAUCUAAUUUCAUUAAAUUAACUCACAUAUUGUUGCAUUGUGUACGUUCAUUUUUCCAGAAAUUAAUUUCCAUACUCCUGUCUAAGGUAUUCGAGAAUUUUCACUGAUUAUGCCACUGUUUGGUGAUUGAUGAAAUAUGUAAGAUCAAAUUUUGAUAAAAAUUGAUAAAAUAUGCGAUUGAAAAAUUCUGAAUUAUGCAAUUAAAAUUAAAAUUAAUUAUUGAUUUUGACUUGAAUUAAAAAUACCAAACAUGGCUAUAUGGAUUUAUGGCACUCGAAUACAUUAUUUAUUUUGGAUUACUCCCUUUUAAUUAUUGUUGGAUGACAAUAUUCGUUCUUCCAACCGACAAGAUAAGGAGACACACGAAUACGCUGUCGGGCUUAGUCCACACAGUAAAAUCUAAUGUUACGAUCAAGAAAAUUAUUGAUUUAGAGGGAUUCUUUUAAUGAAGAUUUCCGAAAAAAUCAUGAAAAAAAGUUCAAUUGGCACGAACCCUUUGUGAUCUCAUAAUGAAGGGUGAUCUCGUAAUACUUUUGUGAAUAUGCGUUGUUAGGUGUUCCAUUUUUAUUUCUAUUGAGGACGAACCUAAAUAUGUACUAGAGAUUCGCAAUAGACAAUCAUCAAAUGCGAUUGAAUAGAUAACUUAUUAAAUUAUUGAUAAACGAAUAAUUACUAAUUUAUUGAUAGAUUAUGUGAGUCAUUUCUAGUCAACGUUAAAAAAUUGCGAUGAAUGUCCAAUAUUUCUUGAAUUAUCGUAGUGAAAAUAAUAUGAUGGGGUAUCUCACCAUCAAAUACAUUAUUCAAGGAGUACUGAAUGCAUAUCGAGGAUGAUCACGAUUUAGAUGAUAGUGUUGUAUUACUAAACCAAGGAAACAGUUCAACUUUACACUAACAGUGAUCAAAGAAGCCAGGAAGAAACUAACAUAUAAUGUUGUUCAAGAAAAUAUAUUGGAAGCUAAACAUCAAUUGUAAGAAUUUUGUAACCAUAGUAACAUUAAGAGGUUGAGAAAGAUCAAACAGAAAUAUAUGAGAUCUAACCAGCGUUUCUAAUUAAGUACAUUGGGUUGUUUGGCUUAUCAUGUCUUCUGAGAAGUAGGCAUUGCCAGGGACAAUACAGCACCACUUGGUAGAUCCUUCCAUUGUUGAGUAACUGUCUUGAUCUGUGUAUAUAACCGAACGCCUGCCUUGCCUGAGAUCAGCCGCGCAAAAACAAGAUGAAAAUAUUACUGUAAGAAAUAAUAUUACAUUCCAGUUUGCAAGAUCUAGAAUUUAAGCUUCACCGAUUACAUAAAUUGCUUUCUCAUAAAAAAGGGAGUAUAAAUAUGUACUAUGCAUAGUGUGAAGUAAACUAGUAUUUGUGGUAGAGUAUUAUUUACAGUAAAAAUUAAGUUCCCCUGCAAAAGAUGCCUUGGAGCCAGUAAAAGAGAAGAAGGAUAAAGGAACUGGAAUGGGAACGCUGAUGCCAACCUGAGGUUGGAGGAGUACCACUUCACGCCAGAAACAGAAACUUAAAACUGCAAAAACAAAUAUAGAAAAAACAGUGGCAGAAUUUUAUUUCUGGGAAGGAAAGUAUAAACAAUCUGAAAAUUAAUGCAAAUUAAUAUAUUAUCUCGAUAAAAGCUCCAGUAUACUAGAUAUGGACAGGCUGAUGCAUAUUUAUAAUUUCAGGCUCAACCUAGAUGAUCCAUUAAUUUUGCAAUAUUUGUUAGUUAAGUUAAAUAUAUAUGAAGCAACAGAGUAGGAUACCUGGCCUGCCUCUAUCUCAGUUUGGAAUUUCCUUGCAGCUACUCUGGAUGUAGUAAAAAGAGCUGCACCAUUCCCGGAUCUGGAAAUUUAGAUAAAUGACAUGAGAUUCAAAUAAAAAAACAAAGAAAAAGAACUUGAUGAUGAAAGAGAUCUAGGAAAUUGGGAAUACUUAUUUCUGUUGACUAUGUUUAUGGCUUCUUCUAAACUGUCAGCCUGAGAUGAGCAAUAUGAAAAAUGACACUCUGAGCAUUUGACGAUGUUCAGUUCAAUUGCAAUGGAAGCUGGCAAUUAACUACUGAUAUACCUUCAUGCAAAUGAGAACGG
rnacentral:lncRNA from 1 species